rnacentral:rRNA from 2 species
UCCCCUUCGGGGGACAGAGUGACAGUUNGUGCAUGGUUGUCGUCAGCUCGUGUCGUGAGAUGUUGGGUUAAGUCCCGCAACGAGCGCAACCCUUGAUCUUAGUUGCCAGCAUUUAGUUGGGCACUCUAAGGUGACUGCCGGUGACAAACCGGAGGAAGGUGGGGAUGACGUCAAAUCAUCAUGCCCCUUAUGACCUGGGCUACACACGUGCUACAAUGGAUGGUACAAAGGGCUGCAAGACCGCGAGGUCAAGCCAAUCCCAUAAAACCAUUCUCAGUUCGGAUUGUAGGCUGCAACUCGCCUACAUGAAGCUGGAAUCGCUAGUAAUCGCGGAUCAGCAUGCCGCGGUGAAUACGUUCCCGGGCCUUGUACACACCGCCCGUCACACCACGAGAGUUUGUAACACCC